rnacentral:rRNA from 1 species
GAUGAACGCUGGCGGCGUGCCUAAUACAUGCAAGUCGAGCGAACGGACGAGAAGCUUGCUUUUCUGAUGUUAGCGGCGGACGGGUGAGUAACACGUGGAUAACCUACCUAUAAGACUGGGAUAACUUCGGGAAACCGGAGCUAAUACCGGAUAAUAUUUUGAACCGCAUGGUUCAAAAGUGAAAGACGGUCUUGCUGUCACUUAUAGAUGGAUCCGCGCUGCAUUAGCUAGUUGGUAAGGUAACGGCUUACCAAGGCAACGAUGCAUAGCCGACCUGAGAGGGGGAUCGGCCACACUGGAACUGAGACACGGUACAGACUCCUACGGGAGGCAGCAGUAGGGAAUCUUCCGCAAUGGGCGAAAGCCUGACGGAGCAACGCCGCGUGAGUGAUGAAGGUCUUCGGAUCGUAAAACUCUGUUAUUAGGGAAGAACAUAUGUGUAAGUAACUGUGCACAUCUUGACGGUACCUAAUAAGAAAGCCACGGCUAACUACGUG